rnacentral:lncRNA from 1 species
CCAGAUCUGAUCCAUUUCACGCGGAUGCGGAAUCGGUUUCCGGUUUAAUGUGAAAGAGCCGUGUGGGCGGAUUGUUGAGAUCUGUGGUGCUGGUUGCUGCAAAUGCAAAAUCCUGGUUUGUGAGCCCCGACCUCCGAAGAAGAAAGGAGCUAUCUGAACCCAAAUGCUUCAUUAAGUGCUUUCCAGCUUUCCACCAGUUCAAAGGGCUCGGAGGGGACCGUCUGGCCCCUUCUCGGAGGACACGAAU